UACGUAGGUUGCAAGCGUUGUCCGGAAUUAUUGGGCGUAAAGCGCGCGCAGGCGGUCCUUUAAGUCUGAUGUGAAAGCCCACGGCUCAACCGUGGAGGGUCAUUGGAGACUGGGGGACUUGAGUACAGAAGAGAAGAGUGGAAUUCCACGUGUAGCGGUGAAAUGCGUAGAGAUGUGGAGGAACACCAGUGGCGAAGGCGACUCUUUGGUCUGUAACUGACGCUGAGGCGCGAAAGCGUGGGGAGCAAACAGG
rnacentral:rRNA from 1 species